CUCUCUAUCUCUCCCUUGCCUUUAGUCAUCAAGAUUUUCACCACGAGUGAUGGCCUCAUCUAUGAGAAAUUGAUCGGGAUAAGCAUCUUAGAGUUCAAUUAGGUCUACCAAAAAAAUGAGUAAGACCGUGCAAUCUGAUACACCUGUAUCACCAUCGAUCUCCAAGAUAUUACCAUAGCCUCUUCAUCAUCACCGUCGACUAUC
rnacentral:lncRNA from 1 species